UUGAACGCUGGCGGCAUGCCUUACACAUGCAAGUCGAACGGCAGCACGGGUGCUUGCACCUGGUGGUGAGUGGCGAACGGGUGAGUAAUACAUCGGAACAUGUCCUGUAGUGGGGGAUAGCCCGGCGAAAGCCGGAUUAAUACCGCAUACGAUCUACGGAUGAAAGCGGGGGACCUUCGGGCCUCGCGCUAUAGGGUUGGCCGAUGGCUGAUUAGCUAGUUGGUGGGGUAAAGGCCUACCAAGGCGACGAUCAGUAGCUGGUCUGAGAGGACGACCAGCCACACUGGGACUGAGACACGGCCCAGACUCCUACGGGAGGCAGCAGUGGGGAAUUUUGGACAAUGGGCGAAAGCCUGAUCCAGCAAUGCCGCGUGUGUGAAGAAGGCCUUCGGGUUGUAAAGCACUUUUGUCCGGAAAGAAAUCCUUGGCCCUAAUACGGUCGGGGGAUGACGGUACCGGAAGAAUAAGCACCGGCUAACUACGUG
rnacentral:rRNA from 1 species